rnacentral:rRNA from 1 species
GACGAACGCUGGCGGCGUGCCUAAUACAUGCAAGUCGAGCGGAACUGGGGGAGCUUGCCCUUCCCAGUUAACCGGCGGACGGGUGGGAAAACCUUGGCCACCCUGCCCGGCAGAUCGGGUUACCUCGGGGAAACGGGGGCUAAUACGGGAUAGUUGGGCCCCUCUCCGGGGCCGCUCCGGAAGGCCGUUUCCGCCGGUCACUGCAGCAUGGGCCCGCGGCGCAUUAGCAAGUUGGUGGGGUACCGGCCCCCCAAGGAGACGAUGCGUAGCCGACCUGAGAGGGUGACCGUCCACACUAGGACUGAGACACGGCCCAGACUCCUACGGGAGGCAGCAGUAGGGAAGCUUCCGCAAUGGACGCAAGUCUGACGGAGCAACGCCGCGUGAGUGACGAAGGUUUUCGGAUCGUAAAACUCUGUUGUGAGGGAAGAACACGUACCAACUAACUAUUGGUACCUUGACGGUACCUCACCAGAAAGCCACGGCUAACUACGUGCCAGCCGCCGCGGUAA